AGAGUUUGAUCCUGGCUCAGGAUGAACGCUGGCGGCGUGCUUAACACAUGCAAGUCGAGCGAAGCACUUAAGUUCGAUUCUUCGGAUGAAGACUUUUGUGACUGAGCGGCGGACGGGUGAGUAACGCGUGGGUAACCUGCCUCAUACAGGGGGAUAACAGUUAGAAAUGGCUGCUAAUACCGCAUAAGACCACAGUACUGCAUGGUACAGUGGUAAAAACUCCGGUGGUAUGAGAUGGACCCGCGUCUGAUUAGGUAGUUGGUGAGGUAACGGCCCACCAAGCCGACGAUCAGUAGCCGACCUGAGAGGGUGACCGGCCACAUUGGGACUGAGACACGGCCCAGACUCCUACGGGAGGCAGCAGUGGGGAAUAUUGCACAAUGGGCGAAAGCCUGAUGCAGCGACGCCGCGUGAAGGAUGAAGUAUUUCGGUAUGUAAACUUCUAUCAGCAGGGAAGAAAAUGACGGUACCUGACUAAGAAGCCCCGGCUAACUACGUGCCAGCAGCCGCGGU
rnacentral:rRNA from 1 species